rnacentral:rRNA from 1 species
GAGUUUGAUCUUGGCUCAGAUUGAACGCUGGCGGCAUGCCUUACACAUGCAAGUCGAACGGCAGCACGGGAGCUUGCUCCUGGUGGCGAGUGGCGAACGGGUGAGUAAUGCAUCGGAACGUAUCCUGGAGUGGGGGAUAACGUAGCGAAAGUUACGCUAAUACCGCAUAUUCUGUGAGCAGGAAAGCGGGGGACCUUCGGGCCUCGCGCUCUUGGAGCGGCCGAUGUCGGAUUAGCUAGUUGGUGAGGUAAAGGCUCACCAAGGCGACGAUCCGUAGCAGGUCUGAGAGGAUGAUCUGCCACACUGGAACUGAGACACGGUCCAGACUCCCUAGGGAGCAGCAGUGGGGAAUUUUGGACAAUGGGCGAAAGCCUGAUCCAGCCAUGCCGCGUGUGUGAA